UAAUAUUUUUAUUUAAAAUUUAGAAUUGCAUUUUAAUUAAUAAAAUUUUUAUUGAGAUAAAAAAUUAAAAAGAAUAUAAAAAUUUAGAUUUUUAUUUAAUUAAGAUAAAUAAUAGAAUAAAUUUUGGAUUGAAAAAACGAUUUUUUUGAUAUUAGUUUUAAUUAUUAAUUUUAGAAAAUUAAUUUUUGGUUUAGAACAAAAAAUAAAAAUUAUUUAAAUUAUUUUUUUAAUAUUUUUUAUAAAAUUAUUUUGUUUUGUAAAGUUUUCUUGUAAAUUAAUAAAAUUUUAUUAAUUUUGUAAUAUUAAUAUAAGUAGAGUAAGAAAUUUAUUUAAAUAAAAAAAUUAAUUUUUAAAUUAAAAAUUUUAGAAAAAUGUUUUUUAAAGACUUAGAAAUUUUAAAAAUUUUAGCUACUGCUCAAUGUUAAAAAUUAAAUAGCAGACUUAGCGUGAGGUCACUAAAGUAGCAUAAUAAAUUGUUUUUUUAUUGAAUUCUAGUAUGAAUGUAGAUUUUUUUAAUGUUUUAAAUAUUUUUUGUUGAAUUUGUAAAUUAUUUAAAAAUUAAUAAUUGAAAUUAAACUAAGAAAAGUCUUUGGAAAUUUAUUUUUUAAAUAAAUUUAAAAUUUUUAUUAGGGCAAUAAAAUUUUUAUUUUAAUAAACUAGAAAUAAUAUUAAAAAUUACUCCAGAGUUAACAGAAAAUCAAAUUUAAAUUAGAAGUUAUAAUUAAAAAAGUUUUACAUCGAUGUUGUAUUAUUUUAAAAUUUUAAGAAGAGGUGAAGUUGUUUUAGAUUGUUCCUCUAUUUAAAAGUACGUGAUAUUAGUUUAAUUCACUGUAAGGUAGAAUGGUUUAUCUAGUUAAUUUGUUUUUUAUUUUCUUUAGUACGAAAGGAAUAAGAAAAAAAUUUUAAAUU
rnacentral:rRNA from 1 species